GUCCCUGUAGCGCAAUGGAUAGCGUUUUGGACUUCUAAUCCAAAGGUCGUGGGCUCGAAUCCCAUCUGAGAUG
rnacentral:tRNA from 1 species